GUACAGUAGCAGAGUGGUCUCAUGCGCAAGACUUGGAAUCUUGUCUCUUUGCAGAGGCGUCCAUUCAAACCGGGCCUGUGAACA